UACGUAGGGAGCAAGCGUUGUCCGGAAUCAUUGGGCGUAAAGCGCGUGUAGGCGGCUCGAUAAGUCUGCUGUGAAAGUCCAAGGCUCAACCUUGGGAUGCCGGUGGAUACUGUCGAGCUCGAGUCCGGAAGAGGAGUGUGGAAUUCCUGGUGUAGCGGUGAAAUGCGCAGAUAUCAGGAGGAACACCAAUGGCGAAGGCAGCACUCUGGGACGUGACUGACGCUGAGACGCGAAAGCGUGGGGAGCAAACAGG
rnacentral:rRNA from 1 species